CUGGCCUACCAUGACGGAGUUAUAACGUGGCUUAUUUAUAUGACAAAAAUUUACUUAUAUGAUAAAAAAAUGAUAAUGAGAUAAAAUAGUAGUUUUUAUUUCCUAAAUUAGUCCCUCUAAUUUAGUUAUAAUUUUGACUUAUUUUGAUCCAAAGCCCUUCUCACCUUUUUGAUACUUGAACACCGACGAUGACUUUGAGAGGUGAUGUUUGCCUUCAGUGAC
rnacentral:lncRNA from 1 species